AUACCGACCACAGGCCUGGCUCCGCCUCCCGCCCCAACCCCACCCCCAGGCCGGGGCCGUGCCGGCUGCGACCGGCCAGGGCUCCAGGCAGCAGGGCGCCGGGGCCUGGGGCUCGCGUGCGCACGUCCCGGGAGGCCGAGACCGCGCCUCCGCGGGGCGCCCUGGCUGGCUGGGCUGCGGGGGUUCGACGGCCAUGCAGCUCCUGCGUCCCUCCUCCCUCCGCCCUGCGUGACCAGCCCGCUUUGGAGAGCGCGCAAGGUCCGCAGUGGGUGCGGGGAUGUCUGUGGAACUGGGCUCCGGGAUCUCCGCGGACCCGGGACAGAAUCGCCGCGCGGAGGGGCCUUUCUGGGCAUCAGGGAGCUCCUCUGGGACUAAAGGAAGCACCAGGUUGAGCCUCCCUCCCCCUUCACACACAGAGAGAAAGAGAGAGAGGAAGAGAAAGAGAGGAAGGAAGAUACCACCUGCUAAUGCAGUCUCUAAUUGGCAAGCCAGAGUUCUUUCUCUUCCUAAGAAUGACCCAAGAGAAUGCUGGGUUUCAGGACCAUCACUCCCAUUCCUGGGGUCCCAGGCUUUGGACAAAGCUCCUUCACUUCUUUCCUGGGAAGCCCGCUCUCUGUUCAGGGACCGUCUCCUGGACCUGGCAUCACCCCUGUAUGGGGUUUCCUCAAGCUGCUAGGUGACAAUGCGCAGCUUCAGUCCAUGGCCAUCUUGACUCCAACAUCCUCAAAUUUCUCUUCCUUCUGCCAGCUGAUGGAGGAGCAUUUGAAAAAGAGCACAGAGGGCAGGAGCAUGGGGGCCGGGACUGGAAGCAGAGCUGGGGCAAGGCUUGGGCGGAUAACAGGGGCCAGGGGAGGGGGGAGUCUGAGGCAGUUGGAGUAGCCUCCAGUUGCCUGGUCCAACUCCCAGCAGGCUCUCUUCUGCUCCCUCGGCCUGGCUCAGAUCUCGUUUCUUAAUCCAAUAAAGGGGCACUUGCCUAAAUUUGAAAAGGUGCCAUAAAAUUAUUUUAUCCACCAUAUCCUGUCCAGAAGCAGUUAAGUUCCAAUUUCCUCUUCAAAACUAAUUUCUGUCUGAUACGGCUCUUUCAGUAUUGAUCUACAAUCAGUAAUAUAUUAUGGCCUCUGAAGCAUUACUGUCUCAUUACUCUCCUCUUUCUUGCCAAAUGGACAGUGUCUCAA